rnacentral:lncRNA from 13 species
CUAAUGAAUAGUUGUAGUUGUUGGAGACAAUGGCCUUGAGACCAGUUGACUCACUGUGCUGGGAAUGUUAUCAUAUUGAGACAGGGUACUGGUAGGAAAGGCUAUCUGACAACGUGGUUUUGAAACUGUGCCAGAAUUUUGGUUCACAUUCCAUGAUCUUCUUAGCAAAACAAGCAGAAACACUACAUCUCAUAAAUCCUGGUGACAGAGUGAAACUCCAUCUCAAAAAGAAAAGGAAAGAAAAAAAAAGAAGCGAGGCCAAAUACAGUAGAAUGGGAAUGAAGUUCUCUGGAACCCAAAGCAAAAUAAUGGCAGAUUAAUAUUUUCAUGGCAUUUUUAAAAUGCCUAUGAGAUUUUUUUCCUGCCUUGGGGUACUCCGGCUUAGUCUCUCAGCACCUUUUUCAAAUCAUAAAAGCUAGAAAACCAAACAGCAACAACAAAAAACCAUAGGAAACAAAAUUUGCCAUCACAGCCCUGUAUGACUAGUUACAGAAAUCAU